rnacentral:lncRNA from 1 species
AUGCAGAGAGCUCCCGAGUCAGAGGCACAAAGGAGCCGGGCACAUUGUGCGGUGGGCGCCACAGUGCACCCGGCCGGGUCACAUCCAGCAGCAGGGGCUGCGAGCAGACUGCUUCGCUCAGCCCCGCGGCUGGGAGCGGGCGGUUCAAGGCCAGCUUCCCAUGCCAGCCAAGCCAAGCUGCCAGCAGGGGCUGGUUCAUGGGGAAAGUCAGCGCCUUCCCCAUCCACUGGCAUUUUGAGCAGGGUUGGACAGGCUGCACGUGACUUCUGCAGCUGGGGGGUUUGGGGUCUUGGCGCAGAGACUUGGUGCAGCCGUGGAGAGCCAGCCCGCUGUGUUUUGGUGCUGCCUCCCUCCAACAGAGGAGGAGGUCACUGCAUGUCCAAGCACUCAUGCCAUCAUGGCAUCCUCAUGGUGCCUUUGUCUCAGUGCUGGUCCCAUUUUCCCUCACCACCCAACCCUUGCCAGCCUCCAGAGAAACCCAAGUCCCACCGGACAGGUCCUGGUGAGAGCGGCCGUGGUGCCAGGCCAGCUCCUGGCACCCACCAUGUGCCCAUCCCACCAUGGCUGUGCCUCCAAAGCCAACAGCAGGACCAGGCCCACAUCCUGCACCCAGUUACCUGCAGGGCACCUGGACCAAAUCUGCCAGGUUUGGGUCACUUGCUGCCAUGUUCCCUAGCAGCACUGAGCCAUCAAGCAGCCCACAGGCUCUCCACCAGGCUCAUGGGCUGGGGGGCACAAGCAAACCACAGCGAGCAGCAGUGGCAAACCCACCUGCCCACCUCCGCAUGCCCAUCACCUGCAGAACAAAACGCCAAUGGCUUCCUGUUGCUUUUCCUUUCACUUUGCUGGAGUUUUGUGUUGGCUUUGAGUUCACCAUGCACCGUUCAGAAACCUCACGCAAUUUAUAGGAAAAAACCUUGGCUUGCUUUUCUGUUUACUGUUCCCAAGCAUAAUGAAAAUGUUAAAAUGCUAAGUCACUUGACAUCUGCAACCCCAGUAAUGCACUUGCUUUACUUUUUUUGUAGUUACAAGAGUUGGUGA